AUACCGAAGAAGUUAUCCAUGGAAUCACCGACCGUCUCUAAAAUAAGUGACAAAGAGUUUGAUGGUUGAUACCUGAGGUCCCAAGUUCGAAUCCUAAUUAAUUCAUAUUUUUAACUAAGUUUAUUUUUAAAUAAAAUAAACGAAACGGAUAGUGUGCUAUCUAUCUCUUAGAAGGAAAAAAAAGAAAAAGAAAAAAAAAACUUAUUCAUGGAAUCGG
rnacentral:lncRNA from 1 species